GGUGAAUGCUAGCGGUGUGCCUAAGGUAUGCAAGUCGAGCGGUGUUUGUAGCAAUACAAACACAGCGGCGAACGGCUGAGUAACACGUAGGUUACCUUCCCCUAACACGAGGGUAACUUGGAGAAAUCCUUGCUAAUACUCGAUAGUGUGGCACUUGUUGUCACUAAAGAUUUAUCGGUUAGGGAUGGGCCUGCGGCCUAUCAGGUAGUUGGUGGGGUAAUUGCCUACCAAGCCUAUGACGGGUAGCUGGUGUCAGAGCACAACCAGCCAGAGGGGCACUGGGACACGGGCCUCACUCCUACGGGAGGCAGCAAUCGGGAAUUUUGCGCAAUGGACGAAAGUCUGACGCAGCGACACCGCGUGAGGGAUGACGGCCUUCGGGUUGUAAACCUCGUUCAAGCACCGGCUAACUACGUGCCAGCAGCAGCGGUCAUACGUAGGGUGCAAGCAUUAUCCGAUCUUACUGGGCGUAUAGAGUUCUGUAGGCGGCGACUUAAGUU
rnacentral:rRNA from 1 species